CUUAUCACACGACUAAUACCUCGAAACAACCAGAUAAAGGAACUGAAUUUUUACCACGUCAUAUAUUUUGCCUUCACGCGCGUACCGUCUUCGCCAUGGCCUAGUAUAUUCUACAACGAGGAACGAGGGAUUGCCCAUCUUGCCCUACCGGACCCUACGCAGGCGUGACGUAAAUCGAUCGCCUGACCUGGCAAGAUUUAAUCAACUUGAAUAUUACUAACGGCUCUCAAAUGGACAAACCUGGUAGAAAUCGACCUUCAACUUGCAUCAAAAGCUGCAUCGGAUUUCAUCACAAACAAGAGCAUUUAUAAUCCACAGAAUCAAAACCUGUACUGAAGGUCAACAGCCUGCCAGGCAUUUUUCAACAAAACCACUUCUAUACAAUGCAAAUGGGACAGGUGGGAUGAACAGAUAAGGUGGAAAGAGAAACUAGUUUCAAAAGCUAGUACGCACAAAAAAACACUAAAAUCACAAUUGCACCAUACAAACAACCUUUACUGCAGGUGCAUGUUUUCGAACUAUGAUUGUUUUGAAUCCCUUAGAAAUACAAACAUUAAACAUAAA